rnacentral:rRNA from 1 species
GAUGAACGCUGGCGGCGUGCUUAACACAUGCAAGUCGAGCGAAGCGCUUUGAAUUUUUCGGAAUGAGAAGUGACUGAGCGGCGGACGGGUGAGUAACGCGUGGGUAACCUGCCUCAUACAGGGGGAUAACAGUUAGAAAUGACUGCUAAUACCGCAUAAGCGCACGUCAUCGCAUGAUGGUGUGUGAAAAACUCCGGUGGUAUGAGAUGGACCCGCGUCUGAUUAGCUAGUUGGUGAGGUAACGGCCCACCAAGGCGACGAUCAGUAGCCGGCCUGAGAGGGUGACCGGCCACAUUGGGACUGAGACACGGCCCAA